rnacentral:rRNA from 1 species
CGGCGGACGGGUGAGUAACGCGUGGGUAACCUGCCUCAUACAGGGGGAUAACAGUUAGAAAUGGCUGCUAAUACCGCAUAAGACCACAGUACUGCAUGGUACAGUGGUAAAAACUCCGGUGGUAUGAGAUGGACCCGCGUCUGAUUAGGUAGUUGGUGAGGUAACGGCCCACCAAGCCGACGAUCGGUAGCCGACCUGAGAGGGUGACCGGCCACAUUGGGACUGAGACACGGCCCAG